rnacentral:lncRNA from 10 species
CCAAAGUGCUGGGAUUACAGGCGUGAGCCACCGCGCCCGGCCGAGGUCGUUAUGAUUAUUAUUAUCCCUGCCUUACAGGGGUAGAGAGGUCACUUGUAUGUGAUGUCAGCACCUCUGCUAUCCUUCCUAAUGUCUUGCUCUUUGGACUUGUGGACUCACAUGGAUCUUGGAUUAUCGGAAUGACAGGCCAAGAAGAAGAUUCUGGGAUCCCAAAUGUGUGAGGAUUUUUUCCCAAUGGCAAGCAAACAAUCAAUUCUGCAGCAGACACCAGUUAAAAUACAAAAAGAAGAAACCCGGUGUUCAAAAACAAUUUCAGAACUCAAAUUUACAUUUCCCCUGGAACAAUGAAGCUGCCAUCAUCCUGAAAAGUAUUUUCCUGGAACAAUGAAGCUGCCAUCAUCCUGAAAAGUAUUUUCACAGGAAAAAAAGGAAGGUGGGACUAAAUUUCUGGAACACAAAUCAAGAGUUUAUGUAACAACUAAGAAAACUGGAAUAUCCACUAUAAACCCAUCCAAAAAGGACCAACAUACCAGGCUAAAUAUAGGAAAAAAUUUCAUUUAAAAUUUAGAGGUGUUAGGAUCAGGCCAAUAAAUAAGAACACUAAUAUGUCCUUCAUAAAAAGGAAAGAUGUCCAUACAUGACGUAAUGCCUUCCA